rnacentral:rRNA from 1 species
GCCCUGAGUAGGCGAAGUGCAGAAACGCACGGAACAGAAAAGGGUGGCAGAAAAGAGGCCCAAGCAACUGUUUACCAAAAACACAGGUGCCUGCGAAAGCGAAAGCUGAAGUAUAGGUGCUGACGCCUGCCCGGUGCUGGAAGGUUAAGGAGAGAGGUUAGCGCAAGCGAAGCUUUGAACUGAAGCCCCAGUGAACGGCGGCCGUAACUAUAACGGUCCUAAGGUAGCGAAAUUCCUUGUCGGGUAAGUUCCGACCCGCAUGAAAGGCGUAAUGAUUUGGGCGCUGUCUCAACGAGGGGCCCGGUGAAAUUGAAAUACCUGUGAAGAUGCAGGUUACCCGCGACUGGACAGAAAGACCCCAUGGAGCUUUACUGCAGCUUGAGAUUGAAUCCCGGUGGCAGACGCACAGGAUAGGUGGGAGGCUUUGAGAUAGUGACUUUGGUUGCUAUGGAGCCGACGUUGGGAUACCACCCUUCUGUUGCUGGGAUUCUAACGCGAAGAUUAACAACCUUGCAGACCAUCUCAGGUAGGCGGUUUGACUGGGGCGGUCGCCUCCGAAAGAGUAACGGAGGCGCCCAAAGGUUCCCUCAGGCCGGACAGAAACCGGCCGAAGAGUGCAAAGGCAGAAGGGAGCUUGACUGCGAGACAGACAAGUCGAGCAGAGACGAAAGUCGGGCUUAGUGAUCCGGUGGUACUGCGUGGAAAGGCCAUCGCUCAACGGAUAAAAGCUACCCUGGGGAUAACAGGCUAAUCUCUCCCAAGAGUUCAUAUCGACGGGGAGGUUUGGCACCUCGAUGUCGGCUCAUCACAUCCUGGAGCUGGAGUAGGUUCCAAGGGUUGGGCUGUUCGCCCAUUAAAGUGGUACGCGAGCUGGGUUCAAAACGUCGUGAGACAGUUUGGUUCAUAUCCAUCGCGGGCGCAAGAAGUUUGAGGGAGGCUGCUCCUAGUACGAGAGGACCGGAGUGGACGGAUCAACGGUGUACCAGUUGUCACGCCAGUGGCACGGCUGGAAAGCCGCAUCCGGAAAGGAUAAACGCUGAAAGCAUCUAAGCGUGAAGCCCGUCCCAAGAUGAGACUUCUCAUCAGCAAUGAGUAAGACCCCUUAAAGACGAUGAGGUUGAUAGGCUGUGAGUGGAAGAGCCGCGAGGCUUGGAGCGACGCAGUACUAAUAGGUCGAGGUCUUAACUUA